rnacentral:rRNA from 1 species
UACGAAGGGGGCUAGCGUUGCUCGGAAUCACUGGGCGUAAAGCGCACGUAGGCGGAUAUUUAAGUCAGGGGUGAAAUCCCCAGAGCUCAACUCUGGAACUGCCUUUGAUACUGGGUAUCUUGAGUAUGGAAGAGGUAAGUGGAAUUGCGAGUGUAGAGGUGAAAUUCGUAGAUAUUCGCAGGAACACCAGUGGCGAAGGCGGCUUAUUGGUCCAUACUGACGCUGAGGUGCGAAAAGCGUGGGGGAGCAAACAGG